rnacentral:tRNA from 1 species
UGGAUCACCUCCUAACAGGGAGACAACAAAAUGUUUAAUAUUAUUAUUUUGUCACCUUAGGUCGAUCGGUAUCUCACGUUUUUAAUUUAUUAAGAAUUUCAUUUCCUAAGUUUUUCUAGGUCACACCCAUUAUUUUUCCUGGGCCAUUAGCUCAGGUGGUUAGAGCGCACCCCUGAUAAGGGUGAGGUCCCUGGUUCAAGUCCAGGAUGGCCCAUAUCUCUAUGUUGGGGGUAUAGCUCAGUUGGUAGAGCGCCUGCUUUGCAAGCAGGAUGUCAGCGGUUCGAGUCCGCUUACCUCCACUGAUCACCACCUCUUCCAUAAUCGGUAGAAAGGAAAUUUUUUGAGUUGUGAUCAAAUUCUGAAAGAAUCUAGCUUCCUAAUGAAAUCAUUAAGAUGCUGGACUCAUUGAAUUAAUUUUCAUUGUUUUCAGAGAACCUUGACAACUGCAUAGAUUAUUUUUAAAGACAAUAAGCAUCUUUAAUGAUGCAGAUUUAUUAUUUGUGCAAAUGCAUUAAUAACAAUUCUAUUAAGCUGAUGCUUCAAAAUUUGAAGUUAUUGGUCAAGCUACAAAGGGCUCACGGAGGAUACCUAGGCACACAGAGGCGAUGAAGG